GUGCUCACUUCAACAGCGCAUAUACUAAAAUUGGAACGAUACAGAGAAGAUGAGCAUGGCCCCUGCGCGAGGAUGACGUGCAAAUUUGUGAAGCAUUCCAUAUUAAA
rnacentral:snRNA from 1 species